GCUGGGCAUGGUGGUGCAUGCCUGUAAUCCCAGCUACUCAGGAGGCUGAGGCAGGAGAAUCACUUGAACCCAGGAGGCAGAGGUUGCAGUGAGCCAAGAUCAUGCCACUGUAUUCCAGCAUGGGCGACAGAGUGAGACUCUGUCUCAA
rnacentral:SRP_RNA from 1 species